rnacentral:snoRNA from 1 species
AUGCAUCUCUGACCUGGAACAGUUAAUGUCUGCUACUAAGGUUUCCACUAGAGAUGCAAGAAAAAGAAGAUCCUUGUGCUUUCUGUCUGUCUGGUUGUGACAACCAGGAUUGAAUGGGGAAAUACAGAA